rnacentral:rRNA from 1 species
UAGCAGUGAGGAAUAUUGGUCAAUAGCCUAACGGCUGAACCAGCAACUUGGAGGAACAUACAGCAAUAGCUGGUUGCAUUAACAAUUAGUUUUUACAACAUCGACUAUGUCGAAUAAAGUUCUAGGUAGAGUUAUGAUAAUGACAUUUUCUAUCUAUGUGUCUUGACCAAAUCACGUGCCAGCAGUCGCGGUAAUACGUGGAAGACUAGUGUUAUUCAUCUUUAAUUGGUUUAAAGGGUACCUAGACGGUCUAUUAAGCCCCUAAAGGGUACUUACAGACUAGAGUUUGAUGAGAGGGGGGAAGUACGAGAGAGUGUAGAGAUGAAAUUCUGUCAUACCUUACUGGAACAGGCAACGGCGAAAGCAA